AUUAACUUUAUAUAACUGUUCCUUUAAUUAGUGACCAAGCACAUUUUUGAAAAAUUGCAUUCCAAGAGCUAGAACUUUUUUGUUUUUUCAUAAAUGUACUUGUAGGAGGUCUUAUUUUUUGCAGGACAAGUUAUAGUUUUUAAUACACCAUUUUAAGUACAUGUAAUAAUUGA